UACGAGGGGUGCAAGCGUUGCUCGGAAUUAUUGGGCGUAAAGGGCAGGUAGGUGGUCUCAUUUGUCUGGGGUGAAAGCCUUGGGCUCAACUCAAGAAGUGCCCCGGAAACGGUGAGACUAGAGUACUGGAGAGGGUCGUGGAAUACCCGGUGUAGCGGUGAAAUGCGUAGAGAUCGGGUGGAACACCAGAGGCGAAGGCGGCGACCUGGACAGGUACUGACACUAAACUGCGAAAGCGUGGGGAGCAAACAGG
rnacentral:rRNA from 1 species